CCUACGGGUGGCUGCAGUGGGGAAUAUUGGACAAUGGGGGGAACCCUGAUCCAGCCAUGCCGCGUGUGUGAAGAAGGCCCUCGGGUUGUAAAGCACUUUCAGUGAGGAAGAACGCCUGGUGGUUAAUACCCAUCAGGAAAGACAUCACUCACAGAAGAAGCACCGGCUAACUCCGUGCCAGCAGCCGCGGUAAUACGGAGGGUGCGAGCGUUAAUCGGAAUUACUGGGCGUAAAGCGCGCGUAGGUGGCUUGAUAAGCCGGUUGUGAAAGCCCCGGGCUCAACCUGGGAACGGCAUCCGGAACUGUCAAGCUAGAGUGCAGGAGAGGAAGGUAGAAUUCCCGGUGUAGCGGUGAAAUGCGUAGAGAUCGGGAGGAAGACCAGUGGCGAAGGCGGCCUUCUGGACUGACACUGACACUGAGGUGCGAAAGCGUGGGUAGCAAACAGGAUUAGAUACCCUUGUAGUC
rnacentral:rRNA from 1 species